UUUUUUAUCUGUUUACUUCAACAUAUAAAAUAUAUUACCAAACAUUUAUGUAUUUACAUAUAAAUUGUGUCAUUUUAACUCUUGAAAAUAUAGUUAACAUUAAUAUUUAACAUAAUUCUAAGUAAUAUAACAACAAGACUGUUAUAAGUUUAACACAAAUCAUUUUAAUUUAAUCAAGAACAUCGAUUUAUUUCAUAUUUAUUUUCCGUUCAACUUUUAUUGAGACCUGUAUAGUUUAAUUGUCAAGACAGCUACAAAAUUUAAAGGGAAAAUAAAAAAAACAGGGAUAUCCGACGUACCUACUUUGGCAAGAAUGCGAAAAGAAUGGCACCCAAUGAGAUUCCCGCUGAACAAUAAUCGACUGCGCGGCGGCGCCGAAAAUUUCGUCGAUAAAGUUCGCCAGAACUAUUUGCUAAUUCCUAUCUCCCUCCUUCCUCACGCGCGGCAGACUAAUUCCCAAAUGAGAAACGCGCACGCGGCGGCAACAGUUUACUCAACGCAAACUAUUUCUCUGAAGUCGUCUAGCCCGGAAGCUGCGGCGGGAGCGCGUUUUGCUCGCCUCGAGGUUGCGAUAAAACUUAACGAAGCGAGACGACUGUCCUCCUCGGGACAGACGACGGCGCCUCUGUUCGCGCGAAAAGCCGUCACGUCGUCGAAGCUCUCAUCCCAAGAUUUAGGAAUACUGCAGCAACCAUAGCGCGGCGCUGCCGGCUCGAUAUGACGGACCCUAUUGGCCGAUAAUUCACGGAAAUCCACUGCAAUUUCGUAACCGGAAGCCGUUACGGACCGCGUCCGGGGAGCGUUUUAACAAAGAACGCGCCCGAUAUCCGCGUCCGCCGUGCGCAAAGGUGCCAUCGUAAGGCCAAGAAACCUCUCUUGCGCGAUACAAGAUGCGCCUCUCCGGUGUCGUAUCGUCUCCUGUACGCGCGUAACACGUUGUUACGUUAAAGCACAAUUCGCGCUCGCUGUCGUUUAAAGGAAUAUACAUUCCGCGCCGGACCGCUCGUCGAGUACGGUGACAUUUAAAUUUCACGCGAUGCAUUGUCCACGCUAUCGCAUCCACCGUCCACGAUCGGCAGGGGUCGUAUCGCUUCCGAAGGAGCUUUCGAUAAAUGACGCUCGCGAGAUUGGAAGUUAUUGUCAAGUGCCGGCACGUAUACGAGAAAGUUACGUUAGUUUUAAAACGGAUUCGUUGUAAACACCUCGCGCGGCACGUCACGGUAUCGCGUAUCCCCGCUCGACUUAAUAAAUUCUGUUAUGAAGUGUAUCCAGCAUCCGCGGCAGCUCUAACGUUAUUGUCAAGCGAGGCGCGAACAUCACUCGCAGCUCGAAAGUUUUCUUGCUGUCCUCGAAGCUUUGAAAUAAAAUUACAAGUCAACGCGGAGAUAAAGACUCCCAUUUUAAUUAAGUAGAAAUAAAAAGUAAACAUUAACUUUUAUCAUGUCGCGCCUGCAACGAACACGAGAGGAAAAAAACAUUCUCUUUAUAUAAGCAGGAACGUAAAAUUUUUAAGGAAUUUAAUAAUCUCGAACAGAGACACAACUUAUUCACAUAAAGAAAUUUUAUGUAAUUUAAUCGAGAAAAAUGUAUUCACUCUUAUUCAAUAACAAUUUUCACGAGGGAAGAAAAAAGCUGUUACGUAUAGACUAAUUUUAAUUUUAAAAUAAAUAAAAUAUGGUAUUUUACUAAAAUUUAAAAUUCUCAAAUUCUUAAAAGAAAAGGAAGAUUCUUUCUCUACAUUCUUGCUUAUAAGAAAAUUAUUGCAGAUUUAAAACUACCUUUUUCUGUGUAGAGAAUUUAAUUCUUAUUCUUAUUAUUCCUAAAUUAGUUCGCAUCUUGUCUCGACUUGUCCUCAAAGUUCAUUAUCGUUUAUCUAGCUUAUCAUUAUCAUUUACUAUAUAUUACUCACAAAAACGUAUGCGCACGAUGUGCGAAUGUGCGCGAGCGUCCGCAAUACAUUGAGGAUUUGUGGGUUCGCUAAGCCCAAGUGACUGUGGAGAUCAGUCAUCCCUGAGCGAGAAGGUAAAAACUGCGGAAACGUUGCAGCGGGCACGAGCUCUUGCAUAUUCUAUGCGAAAGUCGUCCUCUCACGACAACAGAAGUAUACGGCCAAGUACUCUGUCUGUUUACUCCAAGUUCCAGACUGUUCCCGCUCGCGCAAUAGGCGAUACGGCUUCAUCCGGUCGGUCCCUUAUUUUUAUUUGAGAACCGAGAUUUCGUAGCUUUCAACGAAGUCACUUUUCUCUUCGCGCAGUGGAAACAAUGUUAAAACAUAAAUAAUGGGUAAUAUUAUUCCGAGUGCCAAGUAAGUGCCGUAAGAAAGAACUUACGUAGAUUUACAAACUUAAAGUAACGAAGUUGAGGGGUUUAUGUACGCUAUAUAAAUAAUGUGUAGCACGCUAUAUUAUUCUGCUGCAAAAGACACUUUUUUUUCGCGUUUUUUUUUAUGCUAGCCAAAAAUAGCAAGUUUCUAGUAUUUCCCCAUUAUAAUGUCGAAUAACAUAAAAAUUUCAUUUCUCAGAGAUAUAAGCAAAGUGUUGCACAAAAAUUUGUUAUAAAUUUAUAACAAUUUUAAAAAUUAUAAAAUAUAAAAAUAAUAAAUAAUAAAGUACGGUCUAGUCCUGAUAUUCUAAUUAUUUCAGCCGUGUGCUGAAAUUUAUUUUUUUAUUUAAAAAAAAUUAAGGAACGGUAAUUACUACUUGCUAUUUGAAUAAUAUUCUAAUUUUUACGAUGCCUAGUAUCUUGUAAUUAUUGACACGAUAAUUACAAUAUUUUUUUUGCAGAUGUUAUUUUAAAAUUUUAUCAUUGUUCCAGCCAUGAAAGAUAGGCAGUCUUUUUAUGUAAAAUUCGAUUAUGAAGAUCCAUGAGUCGAAGAGAGAAAAGUGAGAGAGAAAGAGAGAGGAAAAUCUCGCUCGGUUACCGACAUUGAACGUCGGCUGACGUUCGGGAAUCGAUCGUAAAAUUUAUCGGAGUUUAUCGGGUAAUAACCGGCGAAAGAGAUGACGGGAAGUCCUCGCGGAUCCGAUGCCGCGUUGCGUCGAUCGUUUAUGCGAUCUCGUAAACUCCGUCACUUUAUAACGCCUCUAGCGGGUUUUCGUUUUGCACGUGUAAAACGAUCGGCCCGGCCAGUAACCGAAAUUCAACCGAAAAACCAACAAAAAUUUCGUGCGCCAAGUGAGCACUAAGCAUCGCAUUUUAUUCGCUUUUGUUUAAAAAGAUAUGCUGACGCUUUCGAAUUUUUACGUGAAAACCAUCAUAUUGAUUUUCACUUUUUUUUUUAAUCACCAAGAAGAGUUUCAAAUUAAUUCGGUGAUUUUUUUUUUUUUGGAAACAUAUAUGUACUUCGAAUUACGUAAACAAUGUUAAUGUGUAAAAUUGUCUGGGUCUUUUACAUGUUAUGUUUACGAUUCUUUGAUUCUGUUCCAUGUCCUAUAUCCAUAAAGUGUAAAUACUUGUAAUGCAUACUUGUAAAACAUGAUUAGAUGCGAGAUCGAAGCUAAACUACUGUAUAAAACCGAUUGAAACCAAACUAUUCUUGCAAAAAUGUUUUGCAAAAUUAUGAUAAGAAUUAAUAGUAUACUAUAUACAUCAUGUGCGCAUGGAUGCUUCGUCUAGACAUUGUUAUUGCAGUUGUACAUUUUAGAGUACAAAAUGCGAAAAUAUUUGUUAAACAUUCUUCAUUUUACAUAAUUAUGUGCGCGCGGUAACUGUGAGUUAAAUAGAUCACUCCCAGGCCUCGACAUUAUUAACAAAUAAUCUUUCUUCUAACGUCAUUGAUCUCAAGGAUCGCCCUGGCAGUAACACAUUUCGACAAACGCAGUUGUUAAAAGUUUUUCACCUUUUCAUAUACGUGCGAAUACUUUGACCCAAGAAACAAUCUUUAUAUCAAGGAUCAAGUUAUAGAUCAAAUUAUAUCAAGAGAUCUAAUUUUAUCCAUCGGCAUGUAAAAUUAAAAUUAACGCGAUGGUUGGAUCAUAUUUUUUAUUAUUUGAGUAAUAUAAUUGUACAAAUACGUUGUGGCUGCGUAUUAUUAUCUACGCUUUUUAACCGAAGGAAGGGGUAGACUGCGAAACGCGCGAGACAAUGGGUAAAAGAUCGCAAGCAGUGACAGUGAAAAGACUGACAGUCGAGCAUUUAUGUCGAGCGACAAAAUUCUAAUUUCCGCGAUUCGUCCUAUUUUAUAAUUACAUUAUUAAACAUACAACUCAUUAUUAGCACUGACAUCUCGGGUGUUUAAUUAAAAAUCUUGGAUUAUUCUAUAUUUGAUUCUUUUGAUAAAAUUUGUUCUGCUUUGAUAUAAAGAUUCUUCCCUGUCAGAUAAACGGAUCGCUCCCGGAUCUCGAUUACUAAAAAUAAUUUUUUUUAACGUCAGAUAUCUAAAGGAUUGUUCACUUUUUUUACAUAAUUAUUUCUUUAAAAAUUUGUCAUACAUAUUCUAUGAAGGACAACGUUUUUUCAAGGCAUUCUCGAGUACUGCUGUAAAUAUACAGCAAUAACUUAAUUAAAAUACAAAGAAAAUAUUUGGCGAGGAUUUAGCGAAUUAUUAUUUAGCGGAUUACGAAUUAAAUAAUUCUUAAUAAUUCUUCUAAUUAUUAAUAAUAUUUUGUGCGUGUUAUUUCUUUAAGAAUAUCGAAAUAUCUGCUUCGAUAUAUAAUUGAUCGUUGUUACAAGUAUUUAAUGGUAUAAACUAGUUCCGCUUAUUGUGAUAUCUUAAAUGUAAGGUUGCAACAAAGCUCUAUGAAAUAAAGAAAACAAUAAAGUUCACUUAUCAAACAAUAUAUAAAAUGUAAAAUAAAUUACUUGGCGUUUACUUAUUUCUACAAUAUCUAUGGCCAUGACUAUAAUAUCUAUGCAUUUUACACGUCAAAUAUUUUGAUAAAAAAACUUGUUCAAGUAUCCAUAUCCCUUUGGUUCACAGUGAUAGCCUGAUGUAUGCUCGGCAUUCCUUUUUUCUUUUAUAAGCGAAUUAAAAUUUGCAUAGAUGUUCAGAAGAAAUCUUCCCUCCCACGGGUACGACCUUGUCGUGGUGGGAGGGCUCAGUACCCCGAGGGCUUGAAUGCCUGUGGGGGAAGCUAACAGUACCCAUUGCACUUAUUAGGUUUGUUUUCUAUUCCUGCACUGCUGCACUAAUGCAAUAAGUAAGAAUGAGAAAAAAUAUAUUUGUCUUAUUCUAACUUAUUGCACCAGUGCAGCAGUGCAGGAAUAAAAAACAAAUCUAUUACGUCGUCGAUCGUAAAAUUGUGGUUCGUCGCGCCGCGUUAACGCGGUUCGGGAGUGCCGACCGAUUGAACUGAAAACGAACCGUAGCCGGUUCGUCGUGUUUGCUUCGGGAGUGCCGUUCAAGUAAAUGAACUUUCAAUUAGUCCUCGCGCGAUUGUGACUUUAAUAAUCGCGAGUGUUUUUCGCGAGUGUCUCGUGACAAGAAAGGACAGCCUGUUCUGAGAGGAGGAGGAGGUCCAGAAAGGGCAUCGGGCAUCAGCGGAGCAACCUUGGGUAUCAUCGCAGCUUCGUGGCCGAAUAACUCCGCUCGUUGCGCAUCGGAUCGGUGAGUGACAAUUUUUAUAUUAUGGAACAACGAAUCUACGAAAUUUAUGUUAAAUAUCUCUUUAUGUAUUAUGUAUUAUAAAUAGUGCAGAUAAAUGCAACAAUUCAUAGAUUCGUUGUUCCAAAUGUUUUUUGUUUGCAUUUUUUAUUAAAACGUGUAUAAGUGUAUACACGUUUUAAUAGUGUACUUGUUUUACAAGUGUACUUGUUUGAUUUAUUACUUAAGUUAUCUGGCUGUCAUGCAGCUAGAAUGGAUUUGGCUAGGAUCAGCGAAAGGUGAGUUUAAUCUGGCCGGAAGAAAAAAAAAGAAAUAUUAAAAGUUGGGUGUUAAAAAUUAACGUAGGUAGGUAGGGAUACGGGUAGGUAGGAAUAGGUAAACGAAUAAAUGGAAAUACGGAUAGGCAGGAAAAUAAAUCUAGGGUUGUAGGGCUCGAAUAAAUAAUAAAAACCGUGCAAAUGUGUUAUUUACCGCAUCAGAGUGGCAAAUUAGACGAAGGUGCCAAUU